AGAAGGACCUAACUGAGGGUGGUCUCUGUAUACAGGUAGGACUUAUGAGUAGGACCUAACUGAGUGUGGUCUCUGUAUACAGGUAGGACUUAUGAGUAGGACCUAACUAAGGGUGGUCUCUGUAUACAGGUAGGACUUAUGAGUAGGACCUAAAUAAGGGUGGUCUCUGUAUACAGGUAGGACUUAUGAGUAGGACAUAACUAAGGGUGGUCUCUAUAUACAGGAAGGAUUUAUGAAUAGGACCUAACUGAGGGUGUUCUCUGUAUACAGGUAGGAUUGAUGAAUAGACCUAACUGAAGGUGUUCUCUGUAUACAGGUAGGAUUUAUGAAUAGGACCUAACUAAGGGUGGUCUCUGUAUACAGGUAGGACUUAUGAGUAGGACCUAACUGAGGGUGGUCUCUGUAUACAGGAAGGACUUACAAGUAGGACCUAACUGAGGGUGGCCUCUAUUCAGGUAGGACUUAUGAGUAGGACCUAACUAAGGGUGGUCUCUGUAUACAGGUAGGACUUAUGAGUAGGACCUAACUAAGGGUGUUCUUUGUAUACAGGUAGGAUUGAUGAAUAGGACCUAACUGAGUGUGGUCUCUGUAUACAGGUAGGACGUAUGUGUAGGACCUAACUGAGGGUGUUCUCUGUAUACAGGUAGAACUAUAAGUAGGACCUAACUGAGGGUGGUCUCUGUAUACAGGAAGGACUUAUGAGUAUGACCUAACUGAGGGUGGUCUCUAUAUACAGGUAGGACUUAUGAGUAGGACCUAACUGAGGGUGGUCUCUAUAUACAGGAAGGAUUUAUGAAUAGGACCUAACUGAGGGUGUUUUCUGUAUACAGGUAGGAUUGAUGAAUAGGACCUAACUGAGGGUGUUCUCUGUAUACAGGUAGGAUUUAUGAAUAGGACCUAACUAAGGGUGGUCUCUGUAUACAGGUAGGAUUUAUGAGUAGGACCUAACGGAGGGUGGUCUCUGUAUACAGGUUGGACUUAUGAGUAGGACCUAACUGAGGGUGAUCUCUGUAUACAGGUAGGACUUAUGAGUAGGACCUAACUAAGGGUGGUCUCUGUAUACAGGUAGGAUUUAUGAGUAGGACCUAACUGAAUGUGGUCUCUGUAUACAGGUAGGAUUUAUGAGUAGGACCUAACUGAAUGUGGUCUCUGUAUACAGGUAGGAUUUAUGAGUAGGACCUAACCG